UAAACGCGUGUAUGGGUGUGUUAUAGUUCA
rnacentral:piRNA from 1 species